AUUGAACGCUGGCGGCAGGCUUAACACAUGCAAGUCGAGCGGAGAGAGGUAGCUUGCUACUGAUCUUAGCGGCGGACGGGUGAGUAAUGCUUAGGAAUCUGCCUAUUAGUGGGGGACAACAUUUCGAAAGGAAUGCUAAUACCGCAUACGUCCUACGGGAGAAAGCAGGGGAUCUUCGGACCUUGCGCUAAUAGAUGAGCCUAAGUCGGAUUAGCUAGUUGGUGGGGUAAAGGCCUACCAAGGCGACGAUCUGUAGCGGGUCUGAGAGGAUGAUCCGCCACACUGGGACUGAGACACGGCCCAGACUCCUACGGGAGGCAGCAGUGGGGAAUAUUGGACAAUGGGCACAAGCCUGAUCUAGCCAUGCCGCGUGUGUGAAGAAGGCCUUAUGGUUGUAAAGCACUUUAAGCGAGGAGGAGGCUACUUUAGUUAAUACCUAAAGAUAGUGGACGUUACUCGCAGAAUAAGCACCGGCUAACUCUGUGCCAGCCGCCGCCGUAACAC
rnacentral:rRNA from 1 species